GAAUAUUGGGCAAUGGGGGAAACCCUGACCCAGCAACGCCGCGUGAGGGAAGACGGUUUUCGGAUUGUAAACUUCUGUCCUCUGUGAAGAUCAUGACGGUAGCAGAGGAGGAAGCUCCGGCUAACUACGUGCCAGCAGCCGCGGUAAUACGUAGGUGGCAAGCGUUGUCCGGAAUUACUGGGUGUAAAGGGAGCGUAGGCGGGAAGCCAAGUCAGCUGUGAAAACUACGGGCUUAACCUGUAGACUGCAGUUGAAACUGGUUUUCUUGAGUGAAGUAGAGGUUGGCGGAAUUCCGAGUGUAGCGGUGAAAUGCGUAGAUAUUCGGAGGAACACCGGUGGCGAAGGCGGCCAACUGGGCUUUAACUGACGCUGAGGCUCGAAAGUGUGGGGAGCAAACAGG
rnacentral:rRNA from 1 species